GAAACUGGUGCUAAUACCGAAUGGUCUUCAUUGCUUUGGGGUGAUGGAGUAAAGGUGGCCUCUUCAUGAAAGCUACCGUGUAGGGAUGAGCCUGCGUACCAUUAGCUAGUAGGUGGGGUAAUGGCCCACCUAGGCAACGAUGGUUAGCGGGUCUGAGAGGAUGAUCCGCCACACUGGAACUGGAACACGGACCAGACUCCUACGGGAGGCAGCAGUGAGGAAUAUUGCGCAAUGGGGGAAACCCUGACGCAGCGACGCCGCGUGAGUGAGGAAGGUUUUCGGAUCGUAAAGCUCUGUCAGAAGGGAAGAAGUGUUAUGUGGUUAAUACCCAUGUAAUUUGACGGUACCUUCAGAGGAAGCACCGGCUAACUCCGUGCCAGCAGCCGCGGUAAUAUGGAGGGUGCAAGCGUUGUUCGGAAUUACUGGGCGUAAAGGGCGCGUGGGCGGCCUGAUAAGUCAGAUGUGAAAGUCCACGGCUCAACCGUGGAAGUGCAUUUGAAACUGUCAGGCUUGAGUAUCGGAGGAGAGUGUGGAAUUCCCGGUGUAGAGGUGAAAUUCGUAGAGAUCGGGAGGAACACCGGUGGCGA
rnacentral:rRNA from 1 species